GUGUUUGCGGGCGUGGUAUCAUCAAGAUUCACAUCCAUCCAUGCAUCUCUCUCUCUCUCUCUCUGCCAAGCAGUUUGUUUGUUUCCAAAUGAGAUAUAUAGAUGCAUAUAGGACAUACUUUGGAUGAGAAUCUUGAUGAUGCUGCAUCCGCACACAA
rnacentral:pre_miRNA from 1 species